GUGAAGUUGGAAUCGCUAGUAAUCGCGGAUCAGCAUGCCGCGGUGAAUACGUUCCCGGGCCUUGUACACACCGCCCGUCACACCAUGAGAGUCGGGAACACCCGAAGUCCGUAGCCUAACCGCAAGGGGGGCGCGGCCGAAGGUGGGUUCGAUAAUUGGGGUGAAGUCGUAACAAGGUACC
rnacentral:rRNA from 1 species